CGCAGGGCACCGCCUAAUCGGGAUGCACGCAAGAGCACCCGUACCGGGAACCCGAUUUUUAUUGGGGUGAAUCCCGCCGAAUCGCGAAAGCGACGACGCGGGUAGGGCUGAUCUUCCCAGCCCGAACCCGUCAGCUAACUCGGUCGGCGGAUGAACGGAAGAAAC
rnacentral:sRNA from 2 species